UAAGUCUGAAGCCAACAGCAAUUACAAGAAGAAGAGGAAGAAGAAGAAGGAAGAGGAGGAGGAGGAGGAGAAGAACAAGAAGAAGGAGGAGGAGGAGAAGGAGAAGGAGAAGAAUCGUUAAGUAGCAGCUUUAUACCCAGGCUUCUUGUUACAUAAUGGGGAGGAAUUAUCUACAGUGGAAACAAUGAAGCCAAUAGAAGACUAGGGAUUCUCGCCAUGGAGUUUCUGGGUGGCAAAUAACA
rnacentral:lncRNA from 10 species